ACGGAAGGCAGCAGUGGGGAAUAUUGGGCAAUGGGCGAAAGCCUGACCCAGCAACGCCGCGUGAAGGAAGAAGGCCUUCGGGUUGUAAACUUCUUUUAUCAGGGACGAAGAACGUGACGGUACCUGAUGAAUAAGCCACGGCUAACUACGUGCCAGCAGCCGCGGUAAUACGUAGGUGGCAAGCGUUAUCCGGAUUUACUGGGUGUAAAGGGUGCGUAGGCGGGGAUGCAAGUCAGGUGUGAAAUCUAUGGGCUUAACCCAUAAACUGCAUUUGAAACUGUAUCUCUUGAGUGUCGGAGAGGUAGAUGGAAUUCCUAGUGUAGCGGUGAAAUGCGUAGAUAUUAGGAGGAACACCAGUGGCGAAGGCGGCUUACUGGACUGUAACUGACGUUGAGGCUCGAAAGCGUGGGGAGCAAACAGGAUUAGAUACCCUGGUA
rnacentral:rRNA from 1 species